AUGAGCAAUCAGCAGCAGGCGAAAUGCCCUCGGAGCACCUGUCCUCUCACAGCACAUUUCCAACUGGCACGUUCAGCAGAGACUGGAGCCAGCCCGCCCGGGACUGCCUCUCCCGGCGUGCCCUGUCCGCGGCUUCGCUUUCUCAACUCCCCAAGCUGGAGCCCCGCUAACAAAAGGUGCUUCCCACGACGUGAAGAUAAUAAAAACGAACCUCUCCUUCCCGCGGCGCCACCCUCCAACUUUAUAAACUACAGUCAACUUACUGGAAUGCAGGCGACAGGGAGCCUUCAAGGGGGACAGCUCUCCGGCUGCGCAGAGCCCCGCUGGCCCCGCACUGACCCGGCUGCGGCGGCGGCGGGUGCGGGGCGAGGCGCUGCCGUUCUGCACCAGCCGCCUGGCUCCGCGGUGCCCGGAGCCCGGCAAUCGCCGGGGCGCACCUCCUGGCGGCUGCGGCGACGACGAAAGCUACACGGGUCCGCGUGGUCCCGAGCGCUGCAGCAGCCGCCCGCCCCGGAGUGCGGCGCUCCGAGCCCCUGGUGGAAGCUGCUGAGAAGUGAGCCCUCUUCGGUCCUCCUCUCUGGGUUGUAUGAUGAGACAGAUCUGCUCUGGGAGUCUACCCCUCCCCCCACCCCCACACCUGCAACAGGGCAGAGAUGCUUCUAAUUCUGGAGAUGGCAAACCUGCUAUGUCAGAAUGCCUUCCGUCACACUGCUGUUAAGUCACCUCCUCUGUUAACAUCCUUAUUGGUGCAUGCUAAGUUGCUUCAGUCUUGUCCGACUGUUUGUGACCCCAUGGACUGUAGCCCACCAGUCCAUAUCUGACUGUGAUGUCCUUCCUCUGUCCAUAGGAUUCUCCAGGCAGGAAUACUGGAGUGCUGUGCCCUCCUCCAGGGAAUCUUUCUUGUGGCCUCUAUCUCCCUAACUUCUCUAUCUAUGUCUUAGUUUAUUUGCACUUCAAGUGAGGAAAAAAAAGACAUUCAUUAUUGAGUACCUCUGAUUUCUGACUUUCAAGAAGAUGUUAACUCUUCCCCAAGGGCCCUCUGAUUUUCCUGCUGAAAUUGAUGAGUUUAUACUGAUUCAUUCACAUCAUUCUCUCAUCAUCCUCUAAUGGUCCAUUAUUUUUCAGGGUGCUGCUGCUGCUAAGUUGCUUCAGUCGUGUCUGACUCUGUGUGACCCCAUAGACGGCAGCCCACCAGGCUCCCGUCCCUGGGAUUCUCCAGGCAUGAACACUGGAGUGGGUUGCCAUUUCCUUCUCCAGUGCAUGAAAGUGAAAAAUGAAAGUGAAGUCGCUCAAUCGUGUCCAACUCUUCGAGACCCCAUGGACUGUAGCCUACCAGGCUCCUCUGUCCAUGGGAUUUCCCAGGCAAGAGUACUGGAGUGGGUUGCCUUCUCCAUUUUUCAGGGUGAUUGUGGACUAAAGGAGCUGACUCUCACAUAGACUUUGAAUAUGUUAAAGCUCAGUCAAUGAGUGGGAAGAAUUUAAUUUAAUCAUCAUUUCAUCCUCUGCAUGUGAAAUGUGCUAUAAAGAGAUGUCAUUGAGUAUGCUCAUAACUACAAAUGUAUUAUUUUAACUUAUUACUUUAAUGCUAAAGGAACUUGUUACAUUACAUUGUCAUCAGACAUCUGAUAAGAAUAAAAUGAGUAUUAAAGUAGAACAAGUCUAUGCAACAUGAGAUACAUGCCAGUUAACCAAUUUAUAAUAAAGAAAAGAUGAAGUGGAUGGAGACCAAGUUCAAAGACAUACUGCCCAUUGAUGGCCAAGUUGGAUGUAGAUGGGGGUUUUGAAUGUACUGGGUAAGCCCACAAUGUCCUACCUAAACAUCAUACAGCACCGCUCACAUCUUGACCACUUUUAAAUUCAGGACUCCCACAAUAAUAUCAUCUGUUCAGUUCAAUUGGGCAAAUAUUUACUUGACUCAAGCUUCUAUAUGUUCUAUAUGCUCUAUGUUCUGUUUGGGCAAAAGAGCAAUGAACUGAAUAAAUAUGGGUCAUAGCAUCAUGGAAAACAAUGGAAAGAACCCAACUACACUUGUUAGUAAAAUUUGUAAUUGUUAGCAAAGAAAUAUUUUCUAAAAUUAAAAGUGCCAUUAUUUAAAUAUAUGUGCUAUGAUUUUUAUUGCUUUGUUUCUUACAAUAGGAAAAAAAUAAGAAAAAAAUCAUGAGCUUUCAUCAACAGGAAAUGGUUUCAUAAAUUAUUAUACUUUUACUCUAUGGAAUAUUGUGCAGUUAUUUGAUGGAAUGAGAUAGAUGUAUUUGAAGAGAUUGGAAAAAUGUAAUGAUAUUAAGAAAAAUUAGUUAUAUGUACAAUUCCAUUUUUCUAAAAAUAAAACAGUGGGACCAGUGGUAUUCAUAUGUCUAUUGUACAUGUUAUUAAUAGUUUAGCAAAGAAAUAAGUAAAGAAGAAGUGUGUGCUCAGUUGUGUCCAACUCUUUGCGACCCCAUGGACUGUAGUCUGCCAGGCUUCUCUGUCCAUGGAAUUCUCCAGGCAAGAAUACUGGAGUGGUUGCCAUUUCCUUCUCCAGAGCAUCUUCCCAACCCAGUGAUCAAACCCAUGUCUCUUGCACUGGCAGGCAGAUUCUUCACCAG
rnacentral:lncRNA from 1 species